rnacentral:rRNA from 1 species
AGUGAACGCUGGCGGCGUGCUUAACACAUGCAAGUCGAACGAGCAAGAGCCGUAGCAAUACGGAGUUCUGCUAGUGGCAAACGGGUGAGUAAUACAUGGGAAUCUUCCCUAAAGACAGGGAUAACAGUUGGAAACGACUGCUAAUACCUGAUAAUACCGAGAGAUUAAAGAUUUAUCGCUUUAGGAUGAGCCCAUGCAAGAUUAGCUAGUUGGUAGGGUAANGGCCUACCAAGGCAACGAUCUUUAGCUGGUCUGAGAGGAUGAUCAGCCACACUGGAACUGAGACACGGUCCAGACUCCUACGGGAGGCAGCAGUGGGGAAUAUUGGACAAUGGGCGAAAGCCUGAUCCAGCGACGCCGCGUGGGUGA